rnacentral:tRNA from 1 species
GGUGGUAUAGCUCAAAGUGGUAAAGUGCAUGUUUAGCAUGCACAGGGUCGUGGGUUCAAUCCCCAGUACCUCCU